rnacentral:rRNA from 1 species
AGCCACAGCCAUAUCACCCUGCAGCCCAAGACUGGUUGCCCACUGAAGCUAAGUAGGGUUGAGCCUGGUCAGUACCUGGAUGGGAGACCUCCUGGGAAAACUAGGUUGCUGUUGGAA